rnacentral:rRNA from 1 species
UACGGGGGGGGCAAGCGUUGUUCGGAAUUACUGGGCGUAAAGGGCUCGUAGGUGGCCAACUAAGUCAGACGUGAAAUCCCUCAGCUUAACUGGGGAACUGCGUCUGAUACUGGUUGGCUUGAAUCCGGGAGAGGGAUGUGGAAUUCCAGGUGUAGCGGUGAAAUGCGUAGAUAUCUGGAGGAACACCGGUGGCGAAGGCGGCAUCCUGGACCAACACUGACGCUGAGGGGCGAAAGCCAGGGGAGCAAACGGG